rnacentral:rRNA from 1 species
UACGGAGGUGGCAAGCGUUGCUCGGAAUCACUGGGCGUAAAGGGCGCGUAGGCGGGGAGGUAAGUCGGGUGUGAAAUCCCUUGGCUCAACCAAGGAACUGCGCCCGAGACUGCUUCUCUUGAGUCCCGGAGAGGAAGGUGGAAUUCCCGGUGUAGCGGUGAAAUGUGUAGAGAUCGGGAGGAACACCGGUGGCGAAGGCGGCCUUCUGGACGGUGACUGACGCUGAGGCGCGAAAGCGUGGGGAGCAAACGGG